AAAUAUUUUCAGGGCGGGGUGAAAUUCCCCACCGGCAGUAAAGUCUGCGAACCGCGCAAGCGGCCGAAUCGGCGCAAUUCCGAUACCGACGGUUAAAGUCCGGAUGAGAGAAAAUGUUU
rfam:Clostridium sp. CAG:678 genomic scaffold, scf18